rnacentral:rRNA from 1 species
CCAGGCGGUUUGGGGCAGUGGAGACAUUGUCCUUCAGUUAGGCUGGCCCCAGAACAGGUGCUGCAUGGCUGUCGUCAGCUCGUGUCGUGAGAUGUUGGGUUAAGUCCCGCAACGAGCGCAACCCUCGCCCUUAGUUGCCAGCAUUUAGUUGGGCACUCUAAGGGGACUGCCGGUGAUAAGCCGAGAGGAAGGUGGGGAUGACGUCAAGUCCUCAUGGCCCUUACGGGCUGGGCUACACACGUGCUACAAUGGUGGUGACAGUGGGCAGCGAGACAGCGAUGUCGAGCUAAUCUCCAAAAGCCAUCUCAGUUCGGAUUGCACUCUGCAACUCGAGUGCAUGAAGUUGGAAUCGCUAGUAAUCGCACAUCACCAUGCUGCGGUGAAUACGUUCUUACGAACUUGUACACACAUCGAA